rnacentral:ncRNA from 1 species
UUGCACCUGUGAAGGGCUCAGCAGGGGACAUAAGUCGAUUUUGCAGGUAAUCGUCCCCUGUACAGUCCCGUAUCCGAUACCAAUCGGAUUUUAACAUCUCCU